GUUUAUAAAGUUUAUAAAACAUUUCAUUUUCAUUGAAAAGAUAGAUUAUUAAUCUUGUAAAUA
rnacentral:tRNA from 1 species